rnacentral:rRNA from 1 species
CAAUAGCGUAUAUUAAAGUUGUUGCAGUUAAAAAGCUCGUAGUUGGAUUUGUGGCGUACGGUGUGUUCCGGGCACUUGUUGUCUGAGUAACCUGCUGUUGCCAUCCUUGGGUGGAACCUGUGUGGCAUUAGGUUGUCGUGCAGGGGAUGCCCAUCAUUUACUGUGAAAAAAUUAGAGUGUUCAAAGCAGGCUUAUGCCGUUGAAUAUAUUAGCAUGGAAUAAUGAGAUAGGACUUUUUUGCUAUUUUGUUGGUUUGCGCAAAGAGGUAAUGAUUAAUAGGGACAGUUGGGGGUAUUCGUAUUCCAUUGUCAGAGGUGAAAUUCUUGGAUUUUUUGAAGACGAACUACUGCGAAAGCAUUUACCAAGGAUGUUUUCAUUAA